rnacentral:lncRNA from 1 species
GCGGCGGGUGCGGGUGCUGCUGAGCCGUGCAGGGCUCGUAGUGCGGCGGUUCAUGCUGUCCGUACGGGUCCCCCGGGGAGGGGGAGAGGUGGUACCCCCCGGAGGCGUUCAGGCUGCUCAGGCUGUUGGCCGUGAAAGCUUCCAUGUCCCUGGUGACGGUACUGAAGUGCAUCUUCUGCGUGCGGGCGGCGGGGCGGGCGGGCGCGCUGCGGCCGCCGCUGCGCUCCUCCAGCGCUCCCUUCCCUGCGUGCU